rnacentral:rRNA from 1 species
CGGGGAAUGAAGACCUUCGGGUCCGUAAACUCCUUUCGACCGAGAUGAAUUCCACCGAUCUAAUACCAUCGGUGGGUUCGUACACGGUAUACGACGGGAAGCAGCCCCGGCUAACUCCGUGCCAGCAGGUCCGCGGUAAUACGGGGGGGCAAGGACGUUGUUCCGGAAUUAUUGGGCGUUAAAGCGAGCGCAGGCGGUUCUUAAGUCUGAUGUGAAAGCCUUCGGCUCAACCGAAGAAGUAGCGAUCGGAAACUGGGAAACUUGAGUGCAGAAGAGGACAGUGGAACUCCAUGUGUAGCGGUGAAAUGCGUAGAUAUAUGGAACGAACACCAGUGGCGAAGGCGGCUGUCUGGUCUGUAACUGACGCGUGAGGCUCGAAAGCAGUGGGUAGACAAACAGGAUUAGAUACCCUGGUAGUCCAUGCCGUUAAACGAGUGAGUGCUAGGUGUUGGAGGGUUUCCGCCCUUCAGUGCCGCAGCUAACGCAUUAAGCACUCCGCCUGGGGAGUACGACCGCAAGGUUGAAACUCAAAGGAAGUUGACGGGGGCCCGCUACAAGCGGUGGAGC